GGAGAGAUAAGUUAACUUUUUAAAACUAUGUGACUCAUGUUCACAAAAUGUAUUUUGUGCUCUUUCC
rnacentral:tRNA from 1 species